rnacentral:lncRNA from 1 species
AUGCAGAGAGAAAGAAGCAACGGGCUCGUGGUCCCGACAAGUAACGGUAGAACUGAGCAUCCCAGCAGGCAGGCGCCACCCCAGAAUCCGUGCUCCCAUGCACGUGUCAGUCAGUCAACAGAACUACCCAUUUCAGGACUGGAUCCAGAACCGUCCGAGGCGCUCAGGUUCAUGGCCUGCUUUUCCACCUCCACAGCGCUGCUUCCGGCUAAGCUCUCAAGAGCCUCACCCGGAUUUGAAAGGGGCUCACGAUCAGUGACUAGGCCUACAGCGCUCCCUCUGACCCUACCACAGCCAGUAAUCUCCCAGAGACACCAAUCCAGCCACUCCCUGCCCCUCAUCCCAAAGAGAAGUUCAGCUCCUUGGAGCUAUAGACGGAAUGGCGGGACAUCACGGCGGACCUCCGGCAUCUCGACACCAGAGGCUACACGCGGUUAAUAAACAGAUCCAUCUUCCAAUAUUUAAGACUCCUGGCUACUCCCGGAAUGGUACACUUUGUCUCCUAUCAUCUUACUGUUGGUCUAGAAGGCAGGAUGUUAUGCCAUAAGGUCUCCUGCGCAUUGCAAAUGAACAGAUUUCAGGUAAGGAAGGGGUGUGAAUGCAGGAAGGAGAAAAAGAACUUUCCUCUACUUAAAUCUCAGUCUUUUUUUUUUUUAAGAUUUUAUUUAUUUAUUUGACAGAGAC